CUGAAUGUGUACAAGCAGGUUGGAAGAUGUAUUUUGAGACUUUGCAGAGGAAGUAUUCUUUGGCUCAGCCUGAAAAGGCCCAGAAAAGAAAAACUAUGACGAGCAUUGCAAAGAACCUUCAAAGAAAGCGACUGUUGCUGGAGACCAGGUCCGGGGUUGUACAAACCAACACAGAAAAGGAACUUUGGAAGACCGCAACAAUAGAACUGAUGUCCGAUGAAGAUGAUGCUAUUGUUGAUGGAAGGCCAGUGUGAAUGGUGAGGUCUCCACCAAUCUGCUCUCUGCUAGGUACUAUAAAACAGACUAGAGGCUGACCCACACUAUGCGUCACACCACCAGCGUAUCAUGGCAGUUUGAAAAAUGUUAACUC